rnacentral:lncRNA from 1 species
CAGAGUUGGAGGAAUUGCACAGACUCCCCUCUGGGACCCUGAUAGGUGAGCCAGAACUUGAAGAUGUAGUAGGAGAAACUAGUAGCCCUGGGUCUAGGGACUGUCUACCUAGGCCCACCAGCUGCCCUGAGGGACCCAUCCCCAGAUCUCAUAACUCAGCCAGCUCAACUCUGCUAAGUCAGAAGGACUGGGGGACUUCAGAGACAGAUGAGAGCUUUGAAACCCAGAGCCAGGAGCUAGCCAAAGAGGGGUUUGGGGCUCUCUCAGUCCCCUCCCAGCAGGCCGAUCUGUGGGUCAAGAAAGAGGAGGAGGAGGAAGAGAAGGAAGCAGAGGAAGAGGAGGAGGAGGAGGCCUCAAAUCCCUUCUCAUGUCAGGAGAGCCAAGAUCCCCUCAGCCUCCCAUCCACAUCACCACCAGGGUCAAGGGGAUCCUCUACCCACUCUGGUCCAGAAGAGUUGCCCACACCCCCAGAACCUGCCUUCCCACCUCCCCCUCUCCCACCCUGGGCCAGCCACCGCCACGGAGUGCCAGGCCCUCCGUGCCCUCCCCUGCCUAUAGCCUGGCCCUUGACCUCUUCUUCCUCACUUCCCGAAGAGUCAGCUUGCCCCCUUGAGCUCUCCCCCACUGGGGGCUCCCCUACACCAUAUGGGGAAGACCACGCUGCAGCCACCCCAGCCUCCCCGCUUGUGCUUCUGCCCCUGGAGACACGGCCAGCUGAGGACCCCCAGCCCAGUGGCAGUCCCCAUCCUGUGAAACCCCUCACUGCUGCCCCUGUGGAGGCUAGCCCCGACAGGAAACAGUCUCGUACUAGCCUGAGCACAGCCCUGAGCAGCGGACUGGAGAGGCUCAAGACCGUCACAUCUGGAGGCAUCCAGUCUGUGCUUCCAGCAUCCCAGCUUGGCUCAACUGUGGACACCAAGAGGCUGAAGGAUUCUGCUGUGCUGGACCAGUCAGCCAAGUACUAUCACCUGACUCAUGAUGAGCUCAUUGGCCUGCUCCUGCAGCGCGAGCGUGAGCUGAGCCAGCGGGACGAGCAUGUGCAGGAACUGGAGAGCUACAUUGACCGGCUGCUGGUGCGGAUCAUGGAGACCUCACCCACACUGCUGCAGAUCUCCCCGGGUCCCUCCAAGUGACCCUUCACUCCAUCCCUGGAGGGAUGGUGAGGACCUGUGUAAUGCCCUCCACUGACUGCUCUCACCGAGAGUAGGGCGAGCCUGCUCUCAUGGUCACUCUCUGCUCCCCUCCCUGUCCUGCCUCUGCUCUGCUGCUGGAAGGGGGCCUUUAAACCCCCUCUUACCUGCCCAUUUUCUCCCCCAGAGAAUUGGAACAAGGUUGUUAGCGGUCAAGAUGGAGCAGGAGUUCCAUGGGUUCUGGGGUGAGCGCUAGUAUCUGGGGCAACACUGUUGACAGCACAGACAGUCACCCCAUGACGUUAGUUGUUUCUUCUCUUGGCCGGCUCUGCAUCUCCAUUUCCCUCAGACACCCGGAGGGCCUCCCAGGAUCAACUGGGACACGGGUGGGGACUAAGCUGCUUGCUGGUCUGUGCAUUGUAGACAGCCAGGGCACCUACUCCUCAGCCUUGUGUCUGUACUUGAGAGCAAGGAGCCUAUGUGUUUUAGUUUUGCCUCUCUGUCUAGAGCUGUGUGUGGAACAUCUAAGCAGGGUGAUGGUGGUGGUGACGGUGAUGGUGGUAUUUGCCUGUGUGUUCUUCAGCUGCCCUGCCCCUCUUCAGACCCUUCCACUCCAUGUCCCAGUAGCGGCCGGAGGUGGGGCUAGGCACAGGGAGAAGGCCUCCUUGCUCCUGAGGUCCUCCCUACCUCCCUAACAUGAGACCCUCCCUCUGGGUUGGGGUUUCAGGCUGCUGCUCAUGUUUUGUGGACCAGGCUUCUGUGCCUGUUGUUACCACGUGUCAUGCCAAAACUGUGCUGCUGCAGACUCAGAACGUGUGGAACCAAUCAAAAUGUGCCUUUUAUGGGUGAGGACAAGAGCCCCUGGAUGUACAUGUCUCUCUGGUCAUGGUGUCUCCUCCCUAUUGAGCACAUGGAAAUGGCUGUUAGGGUCCUGAAAGGGGGAUGUGGACCAGGCUUUUUUGCUACCCUGAGAAGUACCUCAGCUAAGGCUCUGGCCAAUCUGCUGCCACCUCCUAAGCCUCCCUCCUACUUUCUGCUCCUCCCCUGACCCUUAUUUGGAGCAUCCCAGGAUAAAAUCUAAUGCACAGUAGGUCCAGGGCUAUCCAGCACCUUAUUGUGCCUGGCGUUGGGUCCCAGUUGUGCUGGGCCAGUGGGCUUGUCUGAAAGUAGGAGGCUUCCCUCUGCCUUAGGAGACACCUGUACUUAGGAAAAGGCCUUGUGGCUUUCCAGCUGCUCUGUCCCUGCUGUACAGCCCUCCUGCUCACCAAUCCUGCUCACCCCUGCCUUGCCUGGCUUGGCUGAAGUGCAUUUUAAAGUCAAGUAUCUGCCCUGUGGUCCAGUUUCUAGUUUGCUUGUGAAUACAACCGUUUUCCCCAUGACAUCUGGGGGUCCUUGGUGGCUGUGCAUGUGGUAUGUGGUAUGAGUGAAGCAGGUGAAAUGCUGACAGAAGAUGCUCUUGGCCCAGUGGAGAGGUAGUAACUUCUUUCCAGUAUCUCUUAACCCAGAACACCUCAGAAUAGUCUCUGUGGAUGACGUCAGUCUUCUGCCAGCAUGGAGCAGAUGAACUCCACAAUGGGGUCCACCACAGCACAGUUACCAACUAUAGGUCAACUCAGAGAAGAGGAAAGUCAUCACCAGUUCCCAGAAUAUUGGGGUGGAGGCAGUCAUGGGUGUUGGAGGUGUCUCUUGAGGAAUUGAGUCCCUCUGCUAGGAAUUCCUCUGGGCUUUAAUUGGUCCCAGCCCUGUCUUUUGUCUUUCAUCCAUUCCUGCUGUUUGGCUUCCUUACAUGGCCAGGGUAGGGGUGUCUCCCAGAGGAGUCCUGAACUGAGGCCAGGGUUUUGCUCAUGUGUCUGCUCCUUACCACACACUGCAGAGUGCAGCCAGACAGGCAGUGAGCAGGCACAGCUCUGCCCUGCCUUUUGUCUUCCUAGUUGAAACUGCUGUCUAUAAAGAGCUUGUUCUUCAUGUUUUGAGGACUUUAUGAAGAAUAAAAGGUUCGUGUACCACAGCC